rnacentral:lncRNA from 1 species
UCAACUUGGACGUUGCGAGGAAAUCGCCUAACUCGCCGAGCCAGUGGGAGUAGUUCGACCCAUCCCAGAGGAUGACGGUCUUACAUCCCUUCCCCAUGAUGGUUGGCUAGCGAUAGUGACUGAUGAAGACGCGUUCCCCGCCGCUUUUCUGGCAACUAGUUGAUGUUAUGAUGCAUCGUUGGUCCGGCGUACGACGGCGCCUGGUGCGAUUUAUGCGUCCGGAAGCCCUUUCAGCCUCACAGGCAUGUCCCCACCUGCCUCACAGCCGCCGACGCAUCUCACGGCGGGGGUCUAAUUGCGUGCGCGUAUGGAUGCUCCUAUUCCUGCCGCCUUUCUAACAACUAGUUACUGUUAUGAUGCAUCGUUGGUCCGGCGUACGACGGCGCCUGGUGCGAUUUAUGCGUCCGGAAGCCCUUUCAGCCUCACAGGCAUGUCCCCACCUGCCUCACAGCCACCGACGCAUCUCACGGCGGGGUUCUAACUGCGUGCGCGUAUGGAUGCUCCUAUUCCUGCCGCCUUUCUAGCAACUAGUUACUGUUAUGAUGCAUCGUUGGUCCGGCGUACGACGGCGCCUGGUGCGAUUUAUGCGUCCGGAAGCCCUUUCAGCCUCACAGGCAUGUCCCCACCUGCCUCACAGCCGCCGACGCAUCUCACGGCGGGGGUCUAAUUGCGUGCGCGUAUGGAUGCUCCUAUUCCUGCCGCCUUUCUAACAACUAGUUACUGUUAUGAUGCAUCGUUGGUCCGGCGUACGACGGCGCCUGGUGCGAUUUAUGCGUCCGGAAGCCCUUUCAGCCUCCCAGGCAUGUCCCCACCUGCCUCACAGCCACCGACGCAUCUCACGGCGGGGUUCUAACUGCGUGCGCG